CUUUUCUAACCAUUAAAGCAGACAGUAAAAUGUCUUAGUUGUGGUGAUCUUCAUGUUUUAUAAAGGUUCUCAAAACACACACAUGCAUACUAGGUCUCAAAGAAAAUCAGAAUAUAAUAUACCAAAAACAUAGACUUAAAUAGAAUGUUGGCUCUUUGGAAAAGCAUAAUUUUUAUUGCUUAUAAAAAACCAUUUCUGCUAGGUAUUUAUUGUCAUUUAACAAGUCAUAGAAUCUUUUUAGAGUUCCAACACACAGCACAUAUGAGUAUCAUUUAGGAAAAUAUUUAUGGUUCGUCAUGAUGUGGUGACAGAAAACCAAAAACCUGGUCUCGAAUGGCUUUUGAAGUUUGUAAAUAGAUGCCUGCUCUUGCUAAAUGCUAUAUUCGUAGUAAGGUUCCAACACUAAUAUUAACCCUACAGUCAUAAAACAGCUUAGCUUUCACAUUGGAAAUUUCAUCUCAAUAAAUGGCACAUGGAGAAAAAGCGUCCUGGAUACAGCACUCCAGUCUCAGGGAAACCCAGCUAUGGUUGUGAGAAUGAUCCAAACCCCUUUUCAGAGAGUUAAGGAUCUUUCAGUGUCAGCCAGGUAUGGGCCAUACACCUUUAGUCCCAGCACUUGGGAGGCAGAGGCAGUUGGGUCUCUGCGAGUUCGAGGCCAGCCUGGUCUACAGUUUGAGUUCCAGGACAGGAAGGGCUACACAGAGAAACCCUGUUUUAAAACAAACAAACAACAAACAAACACAACAAUAACCCAAUGUUUUAUUGUGUCUCUUUUGAAAAAAAUCAGCUUCUAGUUUCAUAAAAAGAUACAAAAUGAUAAAAUUAUGGUGGUUUUGCCCUUUCAAAGAAGAGUAAAGUCUAAAUAAUCACCAUCAUCAGCCAUCUCGGGUUCUGCUGUUUUCCUUCUUUUUAUAUUCCUUUCUUUUGGGUGUUAGUGUGUGGUCAUGUGUCAUGUCAUGUAUGUGGAGGUCAGAGGACAAUAGUUUUAGAAGCUGGUUCUCUCCACCAUUUAAGUCUUGGAGAUCAAACUAAAGAAAUCAGACUGGGUGGCAAGCUCCUUUUGCCUUCUGCUCCCUCUUGCUAGCCCUUGGAUUUUGACUUUACAAAUGAGCCAACCAGCUUGUUAUAUUCCUUUGUAGAGACAAUAAUGGAGCUUUUGUUUCCCUAGAACAUUUGACUAAGCUAUCCCAUUCUUGGUUGUCCAUCCCGAAAAGUUUAAGCCAACAUAUCCCAAUAAACAAACUUGACAUCCAUGUUUGUUUAUUACUGGACUAUUCUUCAAAGCUAGAAGUAGAACCAGUCUAAUGUUCAUCCAUGGAUAUGUGAUGGUUUGAAUGAUAGUCCCCACAGAUCCAACGAUUUGAAAGUUUGGUUCCCAUUUGGUGCAACUGUUUAUAAGAAGGAUUAGGAGGCGUGGCUUAUUAGAGUAGGUCUGGCCUUGCAGGGAGAGCUGUGUCACUGGGGGUCGGUUUUGAGGUUUCAGCCUUGUUCUCUCUCUGCCUAAAACUUGUAGGUCAGAUGUGAGCUCUCAACUCCAGGACUAUGUGUCCUUCCUGCUGCCAUAUUCCUCACUCCUAUGGACUCACUCUCUGAAACUGUAAGCCAGUCCCUCAGUUAAAUGCUUCUUUCCUAAGUUGCUCUCAUCAUGGUGUCUCUUCACAGCAACAGUAGACCUAUCUAAGAUGGAUAUGUGAAGAAAAUACAUGGUGCAUACACUCAAUGAGAUGUUAUACACCAUCAAGCUGGAUGUGAUGUGUGCAGCUUUAAUCCCAGCACUCAGAAGGCAGAGGCAGGUGAUUCUUUGAGUUGGAGGUCAACCUGAUCUAUACAGUGAGUUCCAGGACAGCCUGGCUACAUGGGAAACUCUGUCUCAAAGCCAAAAGAAAAACAAAACUUGUGCACCAUUCAAGAAAAUAAAAUGGAUGUAUUGAAAAUCAUUGUGUGAAGAAAAAUAAGCCCAAGACAGUGUAUGUUUUCUUAAAUAUUGUGGUGGUUUGAAUAUGAUUGACCCAUGGGAAAUGGCACUAUUAGGAAGUAUGUCCUUAUUAGAGUAAGUAUGUCCUUGUUGGAGGAAGUGUGUCAUUGCUAGGGUGGGCUUUGAGAUCCUAAUCAGAAUAGAGCCUCCUUAUGGCUGAUUUUGGAUCAAGAUACAAAACUCUUGGUUCCUCCAGUGCCAUGUCUGCUUUCAUAAUGCUAUGCUUCCCAUCAUGACAAUAAUAGAACUGUAACUGUAAUUAUAAGCCAGUCCCAAUUAAAUGUUGUCCUUUUUAAGAGUUGCCUUGGUCAUGGUGUCUGUUCACAGUAAUGAAACCCAACUUAGAUAGAUACAGAACCCAAAUUUAAAAUUGUAUGUAUGUGUGUGUAUAUGUAUGCGUGUAUAUGUAUGUGUGUUUAUACAUGUGUUUAUAGAUUAUGAAACUAGAAGGGAGCAAAGCAGUUCAAGAAUGGUAGGAAACAGGGUAAUAGAAUACAUGGAAAAGAGAAGUGGAAAGGGAAGCUGACUGGGGAAAGGGAGGAAGCAAGCUGCAAGGGGUGAGAGGGGAGGGGACUCACAGAACAACAUAUGACACGCAUGUGAAGAUGGCAUGAUGAAACCUCAUACUUUGUGCACCUAGCCCCCCCUUUUAAAGAUAUGAAAAUGACAGCAGGAACCAACCCACAUACCCCUUCUCUGCACAUAAAGAAGGCACAUGAGAUGAUUUAUGUUCUGACCCUUUGGUCUUCUAGUUGUGUCAGAGGAACUUGACAUUCAGAGUUCAGAAUCCUCAAUUGCUUGGGACGGCAGGACUACAGUUAGGCUGCCAUAGAAUCACUUGCCAAAACUUACAUAUGGUCAUAUCAACUCUAGGAAAAGGGCUCUCAUGCCUUUCUCUUCACUAAAUGACAGAAUUUUGUUGACUUUUAGAUGCCAAUAAUAUAAGACAUUGUUCCAUGUACUGCAUUGCUAAAGCCGGCAUAACUAAAGUCACUAUGGUAUGGUAUGGUAUGGUAUGGUAUGGUAUGGUAUGGUAUGGUAUGGUACUCUGUGAACUAGGAUAUCUGCAGAUCCAUUAACUUAUAUCCCUAAAUAGGGGAGUUAGCCAGAACACUUCCGAGGAUUGGAGUAGUUGAAAAUGUUCUGAUUAACUCUAAACACAUGGAGGCAGGUGACAAGUUCACUGUCCUCUGGAAGGACAUAACUAGCUAUUGUUGCAAGCUGCAACCAAGAAUACCCAUGACCAAAGUCUACCUGAGGGCUGACCCAAUCAGUUAACAGUAAAGCACAAAGCCCUUUUCUUCUCACUUUCUGUACAGUCUACAAUGUAGACACUAAGAAUCAUAAGCCAUACACUCAACCUUUUCUCCAACUAAAAACUGCUUUAGCAGGAUGUGGUGGCUCGUGUCUGUAAUCCCAGCACUUGGGAGGCAGAAGCAGAUGGAUCUCUGUGAGUUAGAGGCCAGCCUGAAUUACAGAGUGAGUUCCUGGACGACCCAGGCUACCUAGUGAGACCCUGUCUCCAGCCCUUCUUCUAAAAACAAAACAAAACAAAAAAACCCCACUAACUUCCUUUUGAGAUGGUGAUGUUCUAACUCUUAGCUACUUAAGAAAUCAGUGAAGAGACUCAUUGCUUUCACAACAGCGAGAAUGGAGGGAAGAUAGCAAAUUUUACUGUAUGUACCAACAUCUUGGAUGUGAAGGUAUUAAAUUAAGUAGUUUUGGAAGCUACGAAAUUACUCAGAUUAGAUAGUCUGGCAGAAUGUGGCUAUGCUGAAGAGUAAAUAUCCUAGAAUUUAGUAUUUUUCUUAGUUUUAAAGACUCUAUCUGGCAGAUUUAGAAAAUGUCCCCCAAUUGCUAUUAGAAUUAGUGGUAUUUUCAGAAAACUUACAAUUUAGAUUUCAUCUUAAAUGACUUAUAUUAAUCAACUAUAGGUCAGAACCCAAAACGGUUGAAAUCUUACCUUGCUGAGAACACAGUAGCUCCACCCGGGAUCUGUGUUGGAGAAGUACAAAGCUUGCUGGACAAUCUUGGUCUCCGUCCAAAGGAGGAUUUCCUUAAAAGUGAAGUAGAAAUGAGAAAGCAGCUUAGCAUUCACUUUAGAAAAGGUGGUAUAGCACACACACCAUCAAUCAUAUAACAAAACCCCAGGAUACGGUUCCUUCAACUUUGGUCAAAUAACUGUGGAUUUGCUUCGAUCAUUUCCACUGUAGCUGGGACAGGAGUGAAGACUCAGAACAAGGGGGGUGAGGUGGAGAGAGACAGAGAUACACACACACACACACACACAGAGAGAAAGAGAGAAAGAGAGAAAGAGAGAAAGAGAGAGAGAGAGAGAGAGAGAGAGAGAGAGACAGAGAGACAGAGAGACAGAGAGACAGAGACACUAGUGUUCUUUAACCUAGCACAGGUAGGGUCUUUACCUAACCAAACUGGACCUCCCAGCCAGCAGGUGGAGCCAACAGUGAGAUGAGCUUGUAUGGGAGGCUCCACUGAGAAAUUCACUGACUUUGAAUGAGUUCAUCUCUGAAUUUUGAUCCCUACAGUUUUCCAUUUUUACUGUGAUGACCUGUUGUCAAAAAUUAACCUCAUUUACUUUUAACUUUCUUUCGGUAAGGGACCUGGGAUGGACACACCACACGCCUGUGAGGCUCACCGGGUACAUUUACCAGCCUUGCUCUUGUCUCUGCAUGAGCAGCACAGGGACACCUGACCACAGUGUUCCUGCAAAGGUAGUUUCAGUCCGAUGCAGCCAGUACUGAGCAGGGGAAUGACUGUCCCUCCGUUCCUCUGUCCAUGUCCAGGCUGCACUGACUUCCUGGGCUAUGUCUCCCUUGGGAUGUGGAUCACCCCUACUUCAGGCCCAGCCCUGCUUAGCAUCAUCUACAAACACUGGCUAUGAGGAUUAGUUCCCAUUACUGUCUACAACCAUACCAGGCCUAAGCUACACGAUCUCCUCUGGUUGUCAAUUUGACAGGGUCUAGAUCACUUAGGAGACACUGCUCUGGGCUUACUUAGGGAAGAGUUUCUUGAUUGAGAUGCCUAAAGUGAAAGAAGCUAUUAAUGAGCAACACCGUUCUGUGGGUGGGACCUUGGCUUAAUGAUGAGUACUGCGUCCAUCUCCCACGCCCAGAGUGUGACUCGCCACCUUGUACUCCUGCCAUCAUGCCUCCUUCUCAGCCACAAUGUGGUGUAUUCUAUGACCCGAAACAAACCUCCUCACUGAAGUUGCUCUGUCAGGCAUUUAGUUACAGCAACGAGAGGUGCGACUGGGCAUAUUGACAGCUGGGUAUACUGACACAACAGUCACUCAUUUCUGUUGAUGGCCUGUUAACUUCCAUUAGUACUGGAAGAAUCACAAGCCAUAAAAAGCUACUCGCUUUAACAGGAUGUGGUAGCUCAUGCCUUUAAUCCCAGCACUUGGGAGGCAGAAGCCUGAACAUUAGUCCUGGACAGUGUAUCUCUUUUGGAGUGUGCUUUCAACGGUGUGAUAACUGGAUACAUAGAAGUACGUGUAGGUAGAUGGAUAUACUUCAUACAGGAUUUUUUUUCUGGUGGACUAUAACUUGAAACAAAUGUAAAUCCUCUGACAUUGAUCUGUUACUUAAUACUUUCUCUUUGAUGCAUACUGGUGUGUGUGUGUGUGUGUGUGUGUGUGUGUGUGUGUGUGUGUGAGAGAGAGAGAGAGAGAGAGAGAGAGAGAGAGAGAGAGAGGAGUUGGUAAAGGCAGUUGCUGCCAAGCCUGGUGAAUUGAGUUUGAGCCCCAAGGCCUCAAUGACAGAAAGAAAACAUCAACUACUGGAAGCUGUCUCCUGACCUUCACAUAUGUGACUCAUGCCUAAUACAAGUUCUUUUUUCUCUUUCUUUCUUUCUUUCUCUCUCUCUCUCUUUCUUUCUUUCUUUCCUUCUUUCUUUUUUGUUUUUUUUUGACAGAGUUUCUCUAUGCAGCCCUGGCUAUCCUGGAACCAGCUCUGUAGACCAGACUGGCCUUGAACUCAAGAGAUUUGACUAUCUCUGUAUCCCAAGUACUCUCCCAAGUAAAGGUAGGAGACCACUGUAUUGUAAAGGACUUUAAGCAAGCACUGGAAUUGAUGCUAUCAGUGGAGCUAACACCUCAUUGUCAGGAUUCUAUUGAUCUACACUGCGAUUUUCAAAUACCAGCCUCUUGGACUAUUCAAGGCCAGGAUGAGACAGUGCGACAAUGAAAUAAAGAGGCUCCAUGGAUUGCUGUAGUCUUGUGGACACACUGUGUACAUUCUGGUAAGAUAGGCAGAGCCUUAGAGCCCUCUCCUCCUCUCCAGCUUCAGAUCUGCAUGGACUUUGACCCUUAUUUGGAUCGCACUAUCAGACAUAGCAUUCUCUUCCCAUUUCGGGAGAAAUGGAACAGCCAGAGCUCAGAUCUUGAUGGAGACCCAGACUGUCUUCAGUCCGGCCUUUACCAUUUCAAGGAGAUGUCUGUCCACCGGCCCUGUCUCAUCCUAACACUGAGUUCCUUACGAGUCUGUAAUAUUCAGGAGCCUGAGCUCUUGGUAAGAGGCUGGAUUCAAAGCUGAUUCUCCACUACUUGGGUGAGUUGGGAAAGUGACUUCAUUUCUUUAAGCUUCAGCUCUUUCACUUCAAAAAAUGGGGAUUUUCAAUGGGGCUGACUUAGCUGGAUAAAUAUUAUGUGGGGUGAACUAUAUGAAGGGUUUAGUGCAGAGACUGGCACAUAGGAUGGACAGCUACAAAACAAACAAAAAACCUUCACACACACACAAGACCAACAAACAAGCAAAUACACACACGGGGCUAGAGAGAUGGCUCAGGAGUUAAGAGCACUGAUUGUUUUUCCCAAGGUCCUGAGUUCAAUUCCCAGCAACCACAUGGUGGCUCAUAACCAUCUACAAUGAGAUCUGGUGUCCUCUUCUGGCACGCAGGCAAAAUGCUGUGUAAAUAAUAAAUACAUCUUUAAAAACAAACAAAAUAUGUCCUUUGUGAUAAGAUUGUUUGGGGAAGCAAAAUACAAGCCGUGAUUGUGACAAGCAGACUAGCUGAGUGGUGGUGGCCUGAGCCUUUAAUCCCAGCACCGGAGGGUCAGAGGCAGGUGGAACUCUGAGACUGUGGCCAGGCUGGUCUACAGAGUGAAUUCCAGAACAGCCAGGUCUACAUAGAGAAACCCUGUCUUAAAAAGACAAAACAACAAAAAGAUGCAGACUAACUCUGAAGAUUUUUUAAUUAACUUACAAAGCCACCUCAGCCCUGGAGUACUGAUACAUGUUAACACAGAUCACGGGCUUCUGGAGAAUGCCGUAAUGCUGAACAUGGAAGCCCUGAGCACCCUCUGGAUUCUGGAAUAAGGGUUGAGCUUAUUCACGUCUGUCAACAGCCCCUUUGGCAAUGGGAAUAAUUAUGACUGUUUCCAAUUCACAUGUAACAUUCAACAUCUAUUUAAAACAAAAAUUUGGGCUGGUUUGUAGUUUAGGGGAAGAGUGUACUAUGUAGUUAGUAUGUGCAAGGUGCUGGGUUUCAUCCUCAGCACGAAAACGGAAAUGAAAACCUUCAAGUCUGUGCUAAGUUGGGGAGACACAAGGAUGAGGAUUUCCUGCCCUUGAGAGCUAGCAUCUCAAGGCAGAAACAGGUUCUUCCUCCUGUCCAGGCUUCAGAGUGCUCUACCCAGGCUUCUGAGAGGCUUCAGUGCAAUUUUUCUGUACUGUUCAAUUUGAGAUGAUAGUGAAGACUGGAUCAAUCAAUCUCUUUGAGCACACAGACAAGAGGUGAUGUGCAAGAGGAGGCUGCACAUCGCUUCAAGGCCUUUUGGCUAAGGGCAAGUGAAGAGGAGGCUGCAUGCAGUGGAGGCAUGAGUGGGGGCAGAGGAAGAGCAUUAGUGGGCUGUGCCUAAACCACGCUCUGGUGCCACAAUCCAGACACAGCACCUCUGUUUCCUGCCUUCCUUCCAUAACCGUAUUUUCUACAAGAAUCUAUGAACAAUGUACUAUAUAAUCUGUCCCCAGAUUUUUGGAAAGAUCUAGCUGCCCAACUACAAAGGUCAUGGCGCUGUUCCCGAGCAGACCCACUGUGCUGGCUGGUUUUAUGUCAGCUGGACAUGAGCUAGAGUCAUCUGAGGGGAGGGAACAACUGAGAAAAUGCCUCCAUAAGAUCUGGGUGUAGGUAAGCAUGUUGAGUAUUUUCUUAAUUAGUGAUUGAUGGGGAGGGUCCAGGACAUUGUGGUUGGUGCCAGCUUUGAACUGGUGGUCCUGGGUGUUUCAAGAAAGCAGGGUUAGCAAGCCAUAAGGAGCAAGCCAGUAAGCAGCACCUUUCCAUGGCCUCUGCAUCAGCUCCUAUCUCCAGGUUCCUGCCCUAUUUGAAUUCUGGCUCUAACUAACCUCAGGGAAGGACUGUGAUAUGAAAGUGUAAUAGGCCCUUUUCCUCCCCAAAUUGCUUUGGUCAUUGUCUUAGAGUUCUACUGCUACGAACAGACACUAUGACCAAGGCAACUCUUGUAAGGACAACAUUCAAUUGGGGGCUAGCUUACAGGUAAAGAGGUUCAGUCCAUUAUCAUCAAGGUGGGAGCAUGGCAGAGUCUAGGCAGGCAUGGUGCAAAAGUAACUAAGAGUUCUACAUUUUCAUCUGAAGGCUGCUAGCAGAACACUGGCUUCCAGGCAGCUAGGAUGAGGGUCUUAAAGCCCACACCCAUGAUGACACACCUACUCCAGCAAGGCCACACCUACUCCAACAGGGCCACACUUAAUAGUGCCACCCUCUGGGCCAAUCAUAUUCAAACCACAACAGUCAAGGUGUUUCAUCACAGCAAUACUAACUCUAACUUGGACACUCACUGUGGUAAUUCAUAAGCUAACAGUGACAGGCCUAGUCAUGUGUCUGUGACCCAAGUUUAAUUUGUCACAGUAUUUCCCAUAGGCUUUCCAAGUAGGACUGUCAUAAAGUUAGGAUCAUGUGAGUCUAGAACUCCAGGAUGCGAAAUAAGGAAAGGAAGAAAGGUUGGUCAAGGGGGAUGAGGAAGAGAAUGAGAGGGAGCAGAAGGGAGAGAGAGAAUAAGCACAAAUAUAAGAGGCAUACACAUACAUCUCUAAUGCUAUCUGAGUUCCUGAUCCACUCAAUCUCUUUCCCUACUAUGGGUUAGACAGUUAAUUUCUCAUUUUAUACCUGAAACAAAUCUGAGUUAUGGGGAUUUUGUUUUUGUUAUUUGAAACCAAAAGAAACCUUGACUGCCAAGGUUCUUUUUUUUUUUUUUCCUUUUGGUAUCCUGUGAUAAGAGCUUUGAUAAGAGAAGUAGCAUAGCCUCUGAGCAUGUCAAGUCAGAAGUGUUCAAUCUAUCUGCCAACUUUGAAUACAUGGAAAGAAUCCCAGCCACAAGCUUGUAACAUUUAAGGUUGGAUCCUUUCCCAUAGGAUGCCCCUGAGUCAAGCUUCACUGUGAAGGUGACAUUUAUCCAAAUUGGGACCACAGUCAGGUAGUAAUAGCAAUUGUCCAGUCCAGAGCUGGAGAGUGUCCGCUGAAGAAGUUAGAAAGGUUUGUGGGAAUCAAACAGUAGUGUCAAUAGUUGCCAGAUUGCUAAGGAGUUAGGGUUGUAACUAUUGCACAGUGCAAACCAAAUUCAAGGCUUUGAAGAAGACCGGAAGAUUAAAUUGAUCACAGAAAUUUGGUGGAGGGUAAAUUUGAGAGAGAACAGUCAAGAAGACCAGAUAAGAGUUCAGAGAAGUUGCUGGCCUGUUGGUGAUUCACUGCCUAAGUCUGUGAACAGAAGUGAACAAGGCUACAUCAUCCAUGUAGAACGAGAGAAGCUCAAGGAUAGAAUCAUGGUUCAUAACAUCCAGGAAGCAGAUAAGAAGACAUACCAAUAUGUACACCCCCACUGUGGAGACAUGGCUAGAGAAUCCAGGAAGGAUCUUGAGAAAGGAAACUGGUUCUUAGCCCAGCACAGUGUCAAAAUACCUAUAAGUGCAGGGGGGCCGAGGCAGGAGGGCUGCAAAUACCAGGCCAGCCUGGGCUAUACAGCCAAGUUUAAGGCUAGCCUGGACAACUUUGCAUCUGUCUGAAACACAAAUGUUCGGUGGUAGGUCAUUUGCCUAGCGUUUGCAAGAUCCUGUGUUCAUUCAGUAUGAGAGAAGAAGAGAAACAGAGAGAAAUUGUUUCUUAGUUAUAAACGUGUAUCCUACAUCAGCUUAAAAGCAUCAUGUCAUCAGGUACUGCCUAGACUGGACUCCAGCACCACCAAACGAACAAACAAGCUCCCUUGAUGGCUAGGUAUGGGGUGUGUGCCAACAAUCCCAGUAGGCGGAGGCAGGAGUAUGUUGACCAUGAGGGCCAGGCCAGCCUGUGCUAAAUAUUUACACUAAAGGAGGAGGAGGAGGGAGGAGGAAGAAGAGGAAGAGAAGUAAGAAAGACAAAGUAAAAGAAAAAUGGAGGUCUAGAGGUCUUCCUAGAGCUCAUCAUAGUUUCAUCCACUUAUUCUUUCUUUGUCUUCUUACUAGAUGGAGUUUCGUAGAAGGGACUUCAUGUAUCUGCCUAUUUCUAGGGUCUACUGCACUCCAUACCACAUGAUCUGAUGUCUAGUAAACAUUUUCUGAAUGAGUAGAACUGGAAAGAAACAGAGAACACAACAUAUAAACUGGAGUUUAGCUGUUCAACAUGGCAGCCACUAGUCUCGUGGAGGACUUGGAACACCCCAUUUAGAAGUCUAGAUUUAGAAGACAAUAGUACCCAAAACUGAGGUAAGAUUAUCUCACAUACACACAUCCCUAGGUAUAAGCCGCUAACCAGCAGCCAGUGGGGUCACUCAGGCUGCAAAGUCCAAACAGGCUUUAACCAAAUGAGUUGUUAACACUGAAGAUUCAGAUUCCCAAAGAGUCUCAUUUAGGUUUCUCUUCUAAUAAUGGAAGACAUGACAUUUUUCUUCAUUGUAUUUAUGGAACUAUCCUACUCUUUAAGAUUUAUUUAUUUAUUAAGUACACUGUAGCUGUCUUCAGACACACCAGAAGAGGGCAUCAGAUCCCGUUACAGAUGGUUGUGAGCCACCAUGUGGUUGCUGGGAUUUGAACUCAGGACCUCUGGAAGAGCAGUCAGUGCUCUUAACCACUGAGCCAUCUCUCCAGCCCUAUCCUACUCUUUAUUCUAUUUGUUUUCAUAAGCAACCUUAUGCUCUAACUGGCAGAGAACGGAUGAAAUGACAGAUGGGUGUAUAUGUUCUGUCCUGGAAACUGUGGUGAAGUGCGGUGGGGGGCAGAGCACAACCCAGGCACAUUUUACUGUACAGCCCCAAAUGCAUAUAAAAUGAUCAUCCAUCACUACUGUGGUUUGCUCUGCUGCUAGGUACUGUAAUGCUAAGUGCAGGCUCGAGAUCCGGUUGCCCCACAGACAAGAAAGUCUGCAUGUAGACCCAAGAGACACUGUGUGACCUUGCCCAUUAAGUUAUUUCCGAUUGGUGAAUAAAGAUGCCUACAGCUUAUAGCUGGGCAGAAGAGGCAUAGGUGGUGCUUGAUGUUCCCAGCCUGGGGUUUGGGGAAGUCCACGAAGAGAAGGAGAAAGGGAGGAGGAGGGGGAGGAGGAAGACACCAUGGGUUAAGAGUCAAAAAGCAAACAAAACAAAGCAAAAAACAAAAACAUGGCCCUGAGAGCUGGCCAAUUGGAGUUAAGAGCAGCCCAGAUAAAAUAUAGUAAGUAAUAACCUGGAUUUAUUAAUAAAAAAGUAUAUUUUAAUAACAUAGAGGGGCGAUAUCUGCCCAGCUCUACAAUAAGCUCUAAGGCUUAUUAUAAAUAUAAAGGCUGGAUAUGUGCUUUGUUUGAAAACUGAAUGGUUAAAAGUGGGAUAAAAACCCCAAGUUAAAAUUAAAAAUACAGCAUAUUGGUGCCCAAUAUGGGGCAAAAACUCACUUUAAAAUUUUUAAAUUUCAGAUCAAAUAAAAAGCACAUGCUGUCCCUUUAAGACUAUGGAGACCUAGUUUCUUAACAAAGUUGUUUUUUUUUUCCCCAAGCCAUGCAGGGUUCAGAACUACGGCUAACAUCUAUCCUGAUUUGGUAUACAUGAUUCUGGGGUUUGCACCCUAGACAGACACAAUGCCAACAUGCAAAGUCCUAAACCAAACCAACACUCCAAGCAACAGGCUCAAACUCCAGCCUGGGGUCUUCCCUGACGCUGCUCUAUGCUGCCUUGGAGAGGCAACUUAACCGCACAGGUGCUAGAAGACCCUGGUAUGCAAUGAAGCUGGCAAAAUCCUGCUGCUCAGAGAACAAAAAGCAAGGCUGCAUGCCUCCCACGAUUAAAAAAAUUAUAAAAAAUAAAUAAAUUAAGAUGUUAUGCUACCUUAAGCAACUGGUUUCCUUCAACGUGGCCUCUAGGGGAAUACUGGGACUUCUUGUCCUAGCAUGACAUAUGAUGGCUUGAAAAUACGCUCAUUCAGUAAUAGAAGGGAAUUUAAAUAAAGUUAAAUAAAAGGAUAUUAAUCUCUACAAAGAGAAAGGGGGUAUAUUUAUUCACAGAGAUAUUACUCUCCAAAGGGAGAAAGAAAUAAAAAUUAAAAUGUUUUCAAGUAUACAUAGAUAAAUAAACAAAUCCAGGCCUUUGAUCUCAAUACUUAGAGGACAAAGGCAAGGGCAGAUAGGUUUCUUAUGAGUUCGAGGACAAACAGUGGUGGCACAUGCCUUUAAUGUCAACACUUGGGAGACAGAGACAGGCAGAUCUCUGAAUUCAAGACCUGUCUGAUCUGGAGAGUGAACUUUAGGACCCUCCCCCCCAAAAAAAAACAAAAACAAAAACACCACAAAAAAAUAUACAAAACUAUUUUAUGGUCAUAAUCUUACAUUAAUAAAAAAUUAAGGUUAUAUUUUGUUACAUUAAUACAAAAUUUUAUAUAUUAAUACAGGUUUAAGGUUUUCAUUGAUAUAAAUCUUUGUAUAUUAAUACAAAAUUUAAGAUUAAUUUUGUUACUCUUGGAUAAACAUUAUGCCUAUAAAACUCAUAUAAAAAUACAAGGCUUAAUCCCAACCCCUUUAAUAACUGCUGUUACAAAUUGUUUAAAAUAAUUAAGUAAUACGAGUUAACAGUCAGUCAAACUCAUAGUCAUAUUAGGUACUACUUUAAAUUAUCACAAAAAAUAAAUCCUGGGUUAUACAUAUAAUAAAUAGCUAAAAUCAAACGGUUUAUUCAUUUAUUCAUUUAUUCAAGUACGCUAUAAAUAGAUAAAUGGUCUUCAAAAAUGUCAAAGAUCCACAAAUUAUGACAUUUAAAAUCAUCCCAUUAUUAAAAAAAAAUCUUUUGACUAUGAGACAAAUUUGCUACUAACAGUAACCCCAUUUCACUUCAAUAAAGAUACUAAGCAUCAAUAAUUACAAAGAAAGUUGCUUCCAUUGUGGCAGGCUAACCACUAGAUAGAGGGAAAAAAAAGCCCUAACUUUAUCUGUAGACAAAAUGCUGUCCGAAAAGGACAGAUAGAUUCAAAACAAUCAACUCCUAAGCUCUGCCAAACAAGGUAAGCUAGUCCUUCAUAAUUCCUGCUUCCCUUAAAGUCUGUCAGAUGUUCUGGGCCAGAAGGCUAGAGACAGAGGCACCAAUGUUGUAAGAGAUAGCGGAGACUCCCCAAGUGAUAAGCUAUCUGUCAUUUCUAUAAUUUUUAAAAACUGCAUUCCUGCAUACUCAAAUAAUACUUAUUCCUUCUCAAAUCUAUGAUGUGGUUAAAGACUAACUACAAAUCUCUUGGUUUGAAAUAAACAAACGUUCUAGGUCUAAAAAAUGUUUUAAAAAUGAUAUGAGUUAAAAUAAUAAUGUCUAUACAUUACAUAUGUAUAUACAUAUACAAUAAUGAGUAAAAUAAUGUAUAUACAAAUUUCUAACUCACUAAAAUAAGAUAAAUGAUGAAGAAACUUUAUCUAAAUUGCCAAACAUAAUGGACUGGAUGUUGUAAAUAUAUAUGAGACUUUAUAAUUUUCAUAACUAUUAUAAUUAUAUUCAAUUCAUAUUUUUUAAAAAGCCUUUUUAAUUAGACAAAAAAAUUGUUGAGGUUUGGUCUGUUGAUAUGUAUUGUAAUGUUAAGUGUGGGUCCCCAAGACUUAGUUGCCCCAGAGACAAGAGAGUCUGCGUAGAUCUAAGUGACACCAUGUGACCUUACCCCCAAGCUAUUUCUGAUUGGUGAAUAAAGAUGUCUACAGCCUAUAGCGGGACAGAAGACACAUAGGUGGUGCUUGAUGUUCCCAGCCUCGGGGCUGAGGGAGGCUAUGAAGAGAAGGAGAAGGGAGGAAGGAGGAGGAAGACACCAUGGGUUAAGUGUCAAAAAGCACAGCCCUGAGGGCUGGCCAAUUGGAGUAAAGAGCAGCCCAGAUAAAACAUAGUAAAUAAUAACAGGAUUAUUAAUCAAAAAUAAGUUUUAAUAACAUAGAGGGUAGAUUUCUGUCCAGCUGCAGUGCUUAUUAAGGCUUAUUAUAAAUAUAAAAAGGCUGUGUGUGUGUGUGUGUGUGUGUGUGUGUGUGUGUGUGUGUGUGUGUUGUCUGCAAACUAAAUGGUUAAAAAGGCGGGAUUAAAAAUCCCAGGUUAAAAUUGAAAAUUUCUACCACACAUCACUUAUACCCAGAAGUACUUAAAAUAUAAACUGUGUCUUUCCUCCUUGACAGGAUGGUAGCUUGCUGGAGGCAGCCUGUGUUCAAAUUUCGACAGAUCUUGUAAUUUUGAGUCAAUCCCUUACCCCGUGACUUCUGUUCAGGGGAACAUACAACAGAGCUUAACUGGGAAUACAGGUAAACGCCUCAACUCCUCCUUAUGUUGUCAGUACCCAUCGCUUGGCCUUGAAAGGAGAGUCGUGAACCAUGUACUCGGAAACGAAACCAGUUCUACUGGGCCUACUUGGACACGGAAGCAGGGGGCACAGCUAAAGUACACAGCUUUACUGCCAUGCAUGGGUGAGAGAAUGGAACUGUGGGGAGGGUACAGUGGGAAUCCCUAGAGUUUGGGGAUUGAGCUCUGGAAACUCAACAGAGAUUUUUUCUGCUGAGGUGCUUUGCUUUCUGGAGAUCAAAACAAACCCCCAAACCCUAGAAACAGACAAGUGUUUGUAUUUGGGAGCCAAGUAUUUGACUUUGGUUGUUAGGAGAAUGAAACAACGUAGUUUUUUGUUUUUUCCUUUUUUUCCAGAUCUCCUUUUAAAAAGCAACGUUCUUGGGAUAAGAACAAACUUGCUUCAGCAAGUAAGUCACCUUACAGUACCGGUGCCACCGUGAUACUUAAUAUUUAAAUGCUAUUGGUGUGUGGUGCAGAGUGGUUCAAGGAGUCAAAAGUCAAAAUCUUGAUUUUUGGAUAUUUCAAGUCAUCCGGAUUGGAUUUAGGGGCAGUUUGUAGUGCGAACUUUUCUCCUGGGAGAUCCAGGAGGGCCAAAGUUCACAGUGCCAAAUGAGUUACAGGUAGAGGGCAAGCCUAGGUAUAUGCUCGUCUCUAUAAACCAUUAAGUUGUUUGCAAAAGUAAGUAAAAGAAUCGUGAGCAACGGGGGCGGAGCUGGAGGCCCUAGGAUGGAAGGGAAGGUUCUCAUUUUGCGAUAGGGUGAGAUAACCCUACACAGGCAGACUUUCCCUCCUCUCAACCUAGCAUCCUACCUUCUCUGCGGGUGCUUCGACAGCCGAGGGGUUCCAGAGGCCCAACCUGGAGUGGUAGAUAAAAUUUCAGGAUUAGGUGCUGUUCGAAGGUGCAGGUUGGGACCCGCCACUUCUGGGGGUGCGGGGAAGUUACUCACGGUCAUUACUGCGCUGCUUACCCUCU